UGCCUGCUGGCAAGCUGCUGCUGUCGGUCGGUCGGUCGGUAUUCGCGUCUAUCGGCUUUUUGUUUUACCGUACAGGCUGGUCACACUGUACUCCAGUGGUCUUUCGUCUUUGGCCGCACAAGGGAAUUUUAAUACAUCGCUAUCACUUUUAUUGCUCGUCUGUUGCACUGUAAAUUCCAUUCUGCUGCAGUCGCCAGACCGCGGCCGGUUUGUUAGUCUUGUUGUCACUCUCGAGCGGUCGGGUACAGUGUUUUCGUAGAUUUUUCUCGCUUUACUCGACUUUUAUUAGUUCGGUGAAUUCGAUUCGCAGUAUUUAAAUCGUUCUGUAUAAUUUAAUCACUACAUAAAUGUCAAACAUUUUAUAGUAAAAAAACAAAAAAAAAAAUUGUAUCGAGUGCAGUGUGAGAGCAAGUGUCGAUUUUGCCGGAAGUCCAACUUCGAAUAUUUCAAAGACUAAAAAACGUCAAAACCGUCACCGUUGCAUAUGGCGGGCGUCAAUAACGUAAGUACAUAUGAUAAUGCACCAGAACAUUCCAAUAACAUAGUUGAGCAAACUAACAAGGCUGAUGAUUCAGACGACAAAGACGAUUCGUUGCAAAAUGUCAUUGACAGUGAGCUGUCCAAACGUUUUAACGAAAGUGAAACUCCAGCCAAUCGUGUUAAAUAUAGUGUAGACAUAAUGCUAACAGCAGAAUCAAUUCAUAGUGACAGUGUUAGACAGUCCAAUAACAUGGAACAUGUAGACCUUAAGUCCUUAAAAUCAAACGAAUACCAAGUUCAAAAAGACACCAGUGAGCUUUUACUGUUAACAGAAAAACAACAUACAGAAGAGACAAGUGAUACGGGUCUCGGUUCUGAAAUCGUUUUAGAAUCGGAACAAGAUAUUGAUAAUGAUGGUCCAUUAUCUGAUACUAUGAGUAGCGGAUUCGAAGAUGGUAUUACGAAGGAGGCUAUAGACCAGGAUCCUUCUCGUGCAGAAUUAGAGGAGCCUCGUGUAUUUACUAGACCCCUACCGGUUGACGAGACGGAUAAUGUAACUGAAUUGGUAUUUGAUACUUGGACUACAGUUGAUGAAGUUGUGGGAUUAGAAAUUAAAAAAAACGAAUCAAAUGGUUAUGAAGAAAAUUCGCCCAUCGAAAUCACUACUGUUAGCCUUAACCAAGAUUGUUUUGAUAUUAAUACACCAGCCAUAACUAACAAUUUUACCGAGGUAGUGUCGGAAACGACAACCGAACGCAAAACAGUGAAGAAAAAGUCGUCUGCUACCGGUGGUGAGGCGUCUACCACGGUUGUCAAAACCAAAAAGACCAAAAAGUCGAAAAAAUCAGAUGAAAAAGAAAAUAUAUCUGUAAAUUUAAAUGGCCAUUUGACAAAUGAAAUGAAAUAUAGUCAGUGUGACGAUUAUAUUGUCGAGGAAGAUGACUUAUCUAACGUAUGCGUUCGAGACCUCAAAAAAUCUUAUUGCGAUGAAGCUAAUCGAAAGUCUUCCUCCGUUAUUAUACCAGAGGAGCCUGUACCCGCUUCUAUCCCUAUAGAUGAAUUGAAGCGAAAUUUUGUUGGUGCCAUCAAGAAACAACCAUCCGGAUGUGAAAACGGAAUGAUAAACGGUUGUUCGAAAUCAAGUUUUGGGAAAUUUGAUCAGUUGGAAAAAAAAAUUAUCCUUCAACAGAGAUCUCCUACAGAAUCUGAAAAAAUCGACUCUAAACAAAAUGGUGUUAUACGUCCCGAAGUUAAUUCUGUAUGUAAAUCAUGUGAGAAGACUGUGUAUGCUAUGGAACAAAUAAAAGCGGAACGCCAGGUUUGGCACAAGAACUGUUUUCGGUGUACAACAUGCAAUAAACAGCUAACACUCGAUAUUUAUAGUAGCCACGAAGGUAUAUUGUACUGUAAACCGCAUUUCAAGGAGUUAUUUAAGCCUAAAGUAGUAGUAGAAGACGAAGAACCAAUUAGACGCAAGAAACCAGAAAUGAUAAUACGUGAAAAUCAGCCCUUGGAAUUACCACCAGACGUGGUUAGAGCAAGUGAUAAACCGGAUUUGGGCUUAGAAGAAUUGAGUUCUUUAAACGUGAAAUCCCGUUUUCAAGCUUUUGAAAAUGCUACCACCAAUGGUAACAGCCAUAUGGAAAAAUCUCCAGUCAGUGUUAAACGUUCACCAAGUAUAUUGAGUAAAUUAGCUAAAUUUCAAUCUAAAGGAAUGGAUGUAGGAGUUUCCAAUGAAGAUCUGAAUGGCGCAUUCUUUGAGCCUUCGUCAAGCAGUGACAGCGAAGAUGAAGAUCCUGGAAAUGAUGUGUUGAAAAAUAGUAUUUCUAAAGAAAAACCAAUGAGUUUUGACAAAAUGGAGUCUGUUAAACGUAACUGGGAAAUGCGCCGAGAAGAAAUGAAAGAGGAACAUAAACAAGAAAUACAAAACAUUAGGUCUAAAUUAUUUGCGGGUAAACAAGGAAAAAUGAAACAAAUGUAUGAACAAGCUGUGGCUGAAAGUGAACGUACUGGUAUUAAAAGAGAUAUAAAUAUUAACAAAUCUGACAAAGCCAAAGUAAUUAAAGAAAAGUUUGAAAGGGGUGAAAUAAUAAAUGCUGAAAAUAGUGAUGUUGAUGAAAACAAUGUUAAUGGUUCAGUAAAUGACGAUGAAGAUGAAAUGAGUGUUUUUGAAGCUGGAAUCUCCAAAAAGUCUCGAAGUUUGUUCAUGGAAUUGGAUGCUAAUGCUGUAAAGACUAAACAAGCUGCACCAAUUGUGAAUACUAAAAAAGAGUAUAUUCCUAUGAAAAAGGUUACACCGGUAUACAAUCGUCAAGUGUCUGAUGAUGUGGUCAAAUGCAGUGACCGCAUCGAGGACGUUUCAGUGGAAACAGCUGAAGUUUCUUCAAAGUUUAAAUUUUUUGAAACAUACAAGCCUCCUGCUGUCAUUAAGAAACAGUUCCGAAUUACACCCCCACGAGAAGGCCAAAUUAAGGGAGAAUCUCCAGAACGUGAUAUUUACCGCGAUCCUAAUGUAGUACGCAGUGAAGACCCAAUUGAUGAGACAGCAGAACUAGUCAAAAGUAAUACUACUGCUAAGAUGUUGUCCUUAUUUAGACAAAUGGAAGUUGCCAGACCAGCUGUACCUGAAGGUCUCAAACCACUUAAACGCUUUACUCCUCCACCACCAGACCUUAAAGAAUCGGAAACAGAAUCGGAGUCUGAUGACGAUGUGAGUGGUGAAGAUGACAGUGAUGAAGAAGAGUCUUCGAGUAGUGAAACCAAUGGUGAUGUUGUAAAAUCAUCUCUAAAGGUUGAAGAUGAAUUUUUGAAAAAUUCUCAAAGUGCAGUAAUGGCCAAGUCAUUAAAAGAUAAGUUUGAACAUUGGGAACCUGACAAGCAUUCUAUGAAUAAUGCUGUUACAAUGCUUGAUUCUGAACAAGAAAGCAUUGAAUCAACUAAAUCUUUACGUGCUCGUUUUGAAUCUCUGAAAGGUGACCGUCCAGCUGAUAAGCCAAAACCGAAAGUUAACAGAUUCGUGGCCAAUGCUAAUAUGUCGACAGUCGGACGAAAAAAAGACAUUUAUUGGGACUUUUUUUACUAACGUCUGACAUGGUGACAUAGACACAAAAAUUAUUAUUCUUAAUCGAUUCAUUUUAUUAGUAAUAACUGAAGCUCCGUACACCCCAUGGACUUCGUUAGUGUACAUACAAAUAUAAAUUAAAAUUUUACUUGAAACUACAUAUACGUAUCUAACAUAAAUAUUAUUUGUUUGGAUUUAAUUUUAUACUCUUCUUCUAAAAACAAUAACAUAAGCACGCAAUCAAAAAUAUUGUAUUAUCGAUUUGAAAAUAAGUUACUUAGUAAAAAAAAUUCACACGAUGCUUUGUUCAAUUUUAUAAUUAAUUUUUGUUUUAAAGUGAUACUCGAAUACACUUUUUAAAUUCAUAUUCGGUAUCACAUUUUUGUUAUGUUUACAAUUUAUUAUAAGUUUAUCCUAUCGCAGGAUUAUGAAUUUAUUUAAAGUCUAGUAUACAAUUUAAUGUUUUUUUUUCAUAUAGAUCUAUCUUCAAUCGUCUUUUUAAUUUUGUAUAAAUUACAUUCUCCCUUGUCAACAUUUUACAGAUAAGUGAGACGUAAAUAGUAAUGAUUUUUCCUUUUUUAAGUAUUAGAACAAACGAAAAUAAAAUAUUGAUAAUCACUAAUAUUAUUCAGUGAUUGAAUUUUAAAUUUUAGAAGGAGAACAUAAUUUAUUAUUAUCGUUAUACUUGUGAGAUUUUUUUAGUUUUAAAUACAUGAAUAUAUGAAUAUAAUUAUUGUUUUUAAAUGUAAUAUUUACUAUAUAAUAUAAAUUAUGAUUGUGAUUUGAAUUAUACACCUAUUAAUAAAAAUUUUAUCAAUAUACGUUGUCAUUGUGCAGUGUUUACAA